UGUGUUACUUUGUCCAUUUUUUUAUUGAAUUGUGAACUGGAAAGACCGAUUUUGUCCACUCGACAGUCUUCGUUGUGUUGCUCUGAAUAUUGAAAAACUCCAAGCUGUAUACGGUCCCAUUCACUUGCUGCCGAUGCAGGUUACGCUGUUUGAUCCAGUCAAAAGUCAAGAUCUGCACACUUGCUGACUUUGGUGACUUCUGGUCUCUGCUCGCUACUUCAAUCUGGGAGAUUCCAUCAUGUCAUCUCACUGAUUUGGAUAUAACCAUUUUUUUCACUCUUUCCAGGAGCUACGGUGCAAGUUUUGGACUGAUAAUGAUGCAACAGAAAAUUGAUCUGUAUCGAUCUUGGAAACAAUUUUGAGCACAGUUUUGGAGAGAACUAAAAAAAUUGACUUGGACAGGAAUACAGCUUGUCGAAAAUAAGAACACAC